rnacentral:rRNA from 1 species
CUACGGGAUGCUCCAGUGAGGAAUAUUGCACAAUGGGCGCAAGCCUGAUGCAGCCAUGCCGCGUGUAUGAAGAAGGCCUUCGGGUUGUAAAGUACUUUCAGCGGGGAGGAAGGGAGUAAAGUUAAUACCUUUGCUCAUUGACGUUACCCGCAGAAGAAGCACCGGCUAACUCCGUGCCAGCAGCCGCGGUAAUACGGAGGGUGCAAGCGUUAAUCGGAAUUACUGGGCGUAAAGCGCACGCAGGCGGUUUGUUAAGUCAGAUGUGAAAUCCCCGGGCUCAACCUGGGAACUGCAUCUGAUACUGGCAAGCUUGAGUGUCGUAGAGGGGGGUAGAAUUCCAGGUGUAGCGGUGAAAUGCGUAGAGAUCUGGAGGAAUACCAGUGGCGAAGGCGGCCCCCUGGACGAAGACUGACGCUCAGGUGCGAAAGCGUGGGGAGCAAACAGGAUUAGAUACCCGGGUAGUC